UUCCAUACAAGUUAUUGCAAAUGAAUACAAGUGAGGCAGACCUUACACAUAUACACAUACACAUACACACACACACACACACACACACACACACACACACACACACACACACACAGAUCUGACUGGGGAUAGGAUAGGUUAAUACACUUGAGGUGGUAAACAGGUUAUUGUUUAUUCUCUUGCCAGAAGGACUAUGUAUAUCUAGACUAGGCUACUUAUGAAUGUUUAUGAAUAUUCUUUAUUUAUUUUUUAUUUAUUUUUCAAAGAUCAUAUACAGGGCUAAUUAAAUAACAUCCGAGGCUUUAGCCCCGAAUAAAACAGCAUAGGGACGCCACUGCCUUAAGCUAACGUAUUUAUCCACGAUAGCAGACACUUAAAAUAAUAGUUAUAAUUACAUGCAACUUAUUUAUCUCAACGAAAUUUCAAAUAGUAUACUAGAUACAUACAAAUAUAUAUAAAGGAAAAUAUACAAAAAUUAAAUGGCUAAAGUUAAUGCAAAAUUAUGAUGUAGUCGAGUACAAACAGUCUACUCUCAUUGCAGUCUUUGGAAGUUAAUUCUGACUGAUAUACUGUUAUCUUCCACAGCAUGACAUAACACAUCUCAGGAAGUGGUAGUGCUCCACUUUUUCUUCUGAAGCAGAUGUGCUGUGAAUUCCAAUAUUAACACAACCGUAACAAUGACGUACAAAAACUAUUUGUGUGUGUGUGUGUGUGUGUGUGUGUGUGUGUGUGUGUGUGUGUGUGUGUGUGUGUGUGUGUGUGUGUG